GGUUCCAGUAUACCCGUAGCUUAGUAGUAGAUUAUAUAAUAGGUGAAAAUUGUUAACAAUGGAACAUAGGAUGUUAUUGCUGGUCUUCAUUCUGGUGGUUUUUGCUGAUCACUGCUUGGCAGCAAAACUAGACAACGUUCAAGCUUACCAAAAGGUCUGU